GACGGGGGAUGCAAGCGAUAUCCGGAAUCACUGGGCGUAAAGCGUCUGUAGGUGGUGAGGCAAGUCACUGGUGCAAAACUCUGGCUCAACCGGAGGAAAGCCAGUGAAACUGCAUGACUAGAGUGUGGGAGAGGUAGAAGGAAUUCCCUGUGUAGCGGUGAAAUGCGUAGAUAUCGGGAAGAACACCUGAGGCGAAAGCGCGCAACUGGGCCAUAACUGACGCUGACGUACGAAAGCUAGGGGAGCGAAUGGG
rnacentral:rRNA from 1 species